rfam:Schistosoma mansoni strain Puerto Rico chromosome 7, complete genome
AUCCAGCUGAUGAGCCCCAAAUAGGACGAAACGCGCUUUGUUCUGGAU